UACGUAGGGUGCAAGCGUUAAUCGGAAUUACUGGGCGUAAAGCGUGCGCAGGCGGUUGUGCAAGACCGAUGUGAAAUCCCCGGGCUUAACCUGGGAAUGGCAUUGGUGACUGCACGGCUAGAGUGUGUCAGAGGGGGGUAGAAUUCCACGUGUAGCAGUGAAAUGCGUAGAGAUGUGGAGGAAUACCGAUGGCGAAGGCAGCCCCCUGGGAUAACACUGACGCUCAUGCAUGAAAGCGUGGGGAGCAAACAGG
rnacentral:rRNA from 1 species